UACUGAUCGUUGUGUGGCUGGGAGGUUUACGAGUUCGUGCUCGUGGAAGUGGCGUUCGAGCGCCGGAAAAAAAAUCCUCCCGUGUCCACUGUCUUCUCCUUCCUUCUUCUUUGUUGUGUUAGGCAGCGAGCGCGAGGGAGGUGUAGCGAGAGACAGGAAGAGGACGGCACCGGCAACAACAAGCUAGUCGUAGCUCCGCCCAUGGGGGUUGCAACUUUUUUGUUUGGCUGGUCGCAACUCUGUCAAAGGGGGGUCGCAGCUUCUCCACUCGCUAACCGUUCAUAGCUGUUUUCGACACAGGUUGCAACAUCAUGGCUUGCUAGUCACAGCUUCGACCAUAGCUCGUGAAGGAGCAAAGAUGGGUGGGCACAUCCAUGACGACUGUUGCAUUGUCUAGUUUUUCAUCAUCGUAGUAGUGUGUGGCGGCAAUAGUGGUGGGCCUUGCUUUGGCCUUGCAAGCACCAACCCCUUGUAGCCACUCCGGUAGGAGCCCGUGCGUGGAGGAGGGAAAAGGCAGUCGGCCUCGGGGUGUGCGCGCGCUGGGGGAGGAGAAGGUGCAGACGGUGGAAGCAGCCGCGGCGGUUGUGGUUUUCCCCACUCCCGAUGGUCACACAUGGCGUUGGAUUUGGCAAGGGGAGAGGAGGACGACGACUUGGAUUUGUGUCGGGCGAGGAGAGGUUUGUGUCCCUUCGUGUGAAAGAGAUAAGGUUGGAUGUGCGGGAUGGAUGAUGUGUGGCGCCAGUGAGAACCCGGUCCCUUGGAAGGUUCGCCUGCUUUGUUGGAUCAAGUUUGAUCGAAUGGCCUGCAAAUGAGCGGUGUGGCGCCUGGCCGAUCGGCUAGCAUGAAUAAUUUUCCAUGAAUAUCUAGAAACUUACUAUUUUCUAGCAAUCAUGCCAGUCUAUGAUACAACAUGGGAAUGUCAGUGAAGUCACAGGUACAUUAGUUGUCCCAACUUGCUUUUGCUGUCUUUUUUUGUAAGGAAUACUAGUUUUUACAAGACAAAAAGAUUUUCACGCCCUAGGUAAAAAAACUCUUUUUAAGAAAUGGUACACAUUACACAUUUCAAUGAGAAAAAUAUCCAUACAAAGAAAAAGUCACACAAGCCAAAUCUAGGCUUAGGAAUAGUUCAAAAAAAGUCCCAUGCACAAUACACACGACAGAAAAUAAUGAUUGCACCAUGUUGUUUCUUUUUUAUAGGCACAAGUAACACCAUGGGUUUUAUAUUGAACGAGACACCAGGUUGUUGUUCUAUAAAAAGAUAAAUCAUGACUAAGAAUGUUAUAAUACAAACAAAAUCACGAGAAAUUAAAAUUUUGUUUGCAAAAUUAAAAUUAAGUUCGUGAAAUUAAAAAUGUUCACAAAUUUUAAAAAUAUACAUGAAACUUAAAUAUGUCUAUGGUACUAAAAAAAGCUCACAAAUUUAAUGUUCAUUGUUAAUUUUAAAAUGUACAUUAAAAAUUUCAACAUUAUUUAAAAAUGUUCAUCAUAUAUUUCAAAAUAAAGUUGUAUUUAGAAAAAUUCUGAAACAAUGAUCGCCCCGCAAAAAUGGACAAUGGUCGUCGCCAAUGUAACCUACCAUCUGCUUUGUAUGGCCGGAGCAAAAAAAAAAAUCAGAUCCAGCUACGCCUUUAAACUGGAGUGAAAUCGCGCUAUACUUUGGUCAAAAGGAUUAAACAGUGACUUUGGCCUUCCCCAAUGAUUUUGGCCGAAGCUGGCGACUCCUCCUUCUCUACUCUACGUGUCCCUUCCCGUUGUAGUGGACACUUCGGCCCUACUCCAUCAGUGCUCGUGGAGAAUUCUACGUACCCGAAACGGAAGGCAAUGCUACAGUGUACUCGUGGGCGGCAUGGGGUCAAGCUAGCAGCUCCAACUCUUCUACUCUACAGGUCCCGUGGCGUUCAUGUCCAUCAUUGUUUGUCCUGGACAGGGAUACUCUGGAGAUAAUUGAGUAAGAGAGAAAAGGUGAGAGAUGAAAUUUUCAUAUGCAAGGACAGAUAGGCUUCUCGUCACAUAUGCCUAGGCUCAGUGAAAUCCAGUGAUCCCGUGCGGCCACAGUUCCAUGGCACAGAAAAGGAGGGAACACAAAGAAUACUGGAAAGAUUUUGUUAUGCAGAUGUCAAAAGAUAGAAUGAUGCACUAUGGCGCUCGUGUCAUCUCGUGUACACCGAUCUAGAUGAGAUGUGAUGUGGAUAGUCUCGGAAGAGACGGCGGAUCGUGACCGGCCUAGGGCAAGGACUAUGUAGAACUUUCUGGCACCGACAAAUUCUACCGGAUUAUAAGGAAAUUCUGGGGAAACUAUACGGUGCUGAACCACCGACGUGAUGGAAAGAUGACUAUGUCCUUGCUGCCAGCCAGUGUCUCGGCAGCCAGUACAAACACGUUCUCGUGUGCCUCCGCCCAGCUGAUUCGGACAAUUGUCAUCUUCCUAAAAUUUAGAUGGAUAUUUAGAUGUUCUUAAUUUUUUUUCUUCUAAAAUGAACAUAGCUGUGAGCUUAUUUGUUGGGUAGUCAAAUUCUGGUGGAAUUAACAGUAUAAUUUGUAUUUUUGUUUUUAGGUCUUACGCAUCUGGUGAACCCAAGGCUGUCCACAUACAUUUUGAACGUUCAUUAGGUGUUUAUCGGCUAGCUGGGGAGGCUACGAACAAUCUUAAAAAGACCAGUUUUUUACAUUAAGCACAUGCUCCAGAAAUGCUAUACAUGUUCUCCCCUAUGUUCUUUUUGGUAAUCCAAUUCACCACUGACUAAAUUGUAUCACUGCCUGACCUGUGCUAGGUCUGAAUUUGAGGGUUUACUUGAAAAAACUUCUGCUGAAGUUAAUGGUUCCCUGUUAAAUCUGUGCAUAUGUAACUGCAGCAAGAACUGCUGGUAAUGCACAAGCUAGGGAUCAGCUGGAACGUCCUAUUGAAUGCCUUCAUGGAGAUAAUUGUCUGAAGAUUAUUUCUCCAACCACGUGGAGCCGCUGACGUUUACUCUCCCUCAAGACUCACUGGCCAGCUCAGGUGCUUCCUUCGAUCUGAUCUGCAGCAAAGCGUUUUCCAUGACCUCUUGAAUUCUCGUCGAUGGAUCCAAGUCAAAAUAAAAUUGUUUUGCCAACUAAGCACUUAUGGAUUGUUCCUCUAAUUCGGCAUUCCUUUCAGACACUAUACUAAUCGUGAAAUUGCUAUUAUGAUGCUCAUGGCUUAUUUAAUGAUGGCUGAAGUGUACUAACAUCAUAUUCAUACAAUAUAGUUUGUCAUUAAUGAUAUUCACUGGUUGCUUUGCCUGGCACUUGCUUGAGUUGAGUGAUACUCUUAGUCCUGUCCCAACAUCGUGGUUUGGGAAAAAGUGGUGCACGAAUGGUUUCGGAGGAUAGUCUGCACGAGGUACUUAAGGUUCUCUGAAAAAGCAUUCAAGAAGGGAUGAAGCAAUCUUCUACUUAAUUCAGAAGCUCGUCCAUGUCAUUGUUAAUGAUACUACCAUACUCUGAUUGCAUGAGUCCAUGAAGCAAGCAAUAAUCUAUCUCAAAAAUUUGUGUCCAAGCAUACAACCGUAAACAACUUACGAGUUCUGACUAUGGCUAUGUAGCACACUGACAAGACAAGAGAAUAAUGCCUCUAAGGGAUUUGAGCUACGCCGCUUCCCAUCAAACUCGAGCUCGGCGCUCCGUCUGCACUUGAGCACAGCUGUUGGCCAUCAGCUCGCUCGAGCAAACACGCUGGCCGUCCGCGCACGAUCUCCUCCCAGCCUUCGACAUAUUCUUGCAUGCAAGGCUAAGAUAUCUCCACCGGCUCCUUUUUCUGUCUGAGCUCCUCCCUACCCUGGCAAAACCAAAUGCUACCAUCUCCUUUCUUUGGCAUGCUAAAACUUAUGUCAGUUCAUUGUCAUGGAUAGAUUAGUCAGAAUGAGAUUGGGAUCUUUACACUAAAGAGGAUGAGGAGCUAUAUGGGCUAGGAAAUGUUGCUUGAGGUGUGGUUCUGGGACCUGAUGUUGUUCAAAUUACAGCUCCCUUAUUUAGUACUAGGCAUUCCCACUGAUACUGACGAUACUUGGAGCAUUUUCAGCAGUGGCAGUAGACACAUAUGGCACCACUUCUUGGUGGAUUUUGUCCAUUUACUUUUUGUAUCCUUUGAAUUAGAAUAUUCCGUGCAAGAUUUGAGUUUGAAUCUGGUCAAAUUAAUCUUGUACUCUCUGAAUUUAAAUAAUGCUUCGUAUCUUACUAAAUUUUGUUUUGUAUUGGAAGUAUUUUUUCCUUCAAAUUCCCUGAAUGAUUCUGAAACAUAGCGGUGAUUUUUGCAGGGUUCUACGGUGCAACAUCAAGUUUUACUCUACACCUAUGAGAAACUUUUAACUACCUAAUAACCACCUAUUUUACUCCCCAAUGGA